rnacentral:misc_RNA from 1 species
GAAAUGCGAUACUUGGUGUGAAUUGCAGAAUCCCGUGAACCAUCGAGUCUUUGAACGCAAGUUGCGCCCGAAGCCAUUAGGUUGAGGGCACGUCUUCCUGGGCGUCUCACGUUGCGUCGCCCGUGCCACCUCCCCCCCCCCCACGAAGGGGGAAGAAGGGCUGUGGACGGAUGUUGGGCCCCCGCGCGGGGUCGGCCCAAAAGCGAGUCGCCCGCGACGGACGACGCGUCGCCACGAGUGGUGGUUGACAAACCGUUGCGUCGCGUUGCAUGCGUCCAGUCCGUCACGGGACGCCUGUCGUGACCCUAUCGCGCCGCCGCAAGGUGCUCCGAUCGCGACCCCAGGUCAGGCGGGAUUACCUGCUGAGUUUAA